rnacentral:misc_RNA from 1 species
GAUGAAGAACGUAGCGAAAUGCGAUAAGUAGUGUGAAUUGCAGAAUUCAGUGAAUCAUCGAAUCUUUGAACGCACAUUGCGCCCUUUGGUAUUCCUUAGGGCAUGCCUGUUCGAGCGUCAUUUGAAACCUCAAGCUCAGCUUGGUGUUGGGUGUCUGUCCCCGCCUCCGCGGGGACUCGCCUCAAAAUCAUUGGCGGCCGGUACGUUGGCUUCGAGCGCAGCAGAAACGCGAACUCGAGGCCCGGCGGAUCGGCGACCAGAAGUCUCUUCUUCACAGUUUGACCUCGGAUCAGGUAGGGAUACCCGCUGAACUUAAGCAUAUCAAUAAGCGGAGGA